GCCCAAUGAUGAGACCAUGGCAAAUACGAGCUGAUUGGCUGGGGCGUAUGUCCUCUAGCUCUCUGACUGGUGGGUAAUCUUGGCAGAGCAGUGAAGAUUGGCUGCUUUGCUGUAAGGGCCCAUCCAUAGUAAAACCAGCUGCUGUUCAGAAAAAAAACAAUCGUCCACAAGAAAUGGGCGUUUGUGAAUGAAUUGUAGCUUAUAGUGCGUGUGUGUCGUCUGUCUGAGUGUGUGUAAAUGUGUCAGUUAGCCAAGAGUCAUGCGUCUCACAGGUCUACCAGCUGUGAACUCUUUCUUUGGUAAUCUGAGGGCA